AAGGGGUGCAUUUACGGGUGGGAAAGGUGGGGUUUUUCCCCACCCAUGGACAGGUUUCAUUCUCGCAUGGAGUGGUCAGACCCUCCUCAGGCCCGUGAAACGGUGACAGGCUUUGUAGCUUCUUCUUGUUUCCAGGUCUUGUUUUGAAUUGACUUUCAUGCAAUCGUUCUUUGUUUUCCCAGGAAGAUUACACCUGGUGCCCGGACCGGACGGGGAAGCGCCUGCACCGUCCGUGGAGCACAUCCAGUGCCAGCGCUACCCCAGGGGCCACGGCCUGCGGGGACAUCCCCUUCAAGAAGGACGAGGACCUCGUGUGGGAUCGGCUCCUCUCCUGGCAGCAGGUCUGCAGAGGCUGCCAGCACCUCAUGCCAUGGAAACGGCUCCGCUCGGCCUGCCAGGCUGGGAGGGCUGGAGGGCGGCGGGUGUUCAUUUGCUGUCAAAAAGAAAUCGUUCUAUUUUUUUGUCAUCAUCAUGAUCAGAGCAUUUCUUUCAUCCUUUUCCAAGCUUUUGGCCUCCCUUCCUCCAGGGCUUCACCAGCUCGCUCAGCUCAGAGGAGCUCUCAGA